UACGUAGGGGGCGAGCGUUGUCCGGAUUUAUUGGGCGUAAAGAGCUCGUAGGCGGUUCCGUGAGUCGGAAGUGAAAUCUCCACGCUCAACGUGGAGGGUGCUUCCGAUACUGCGGUGACUCGAGUCCGGUAGAGGAGUGUGGAAUUCCCGGUGUAGCGGUGAAAUGCGCAGAGAUCGGGAGGAACACCCGUAGCGAAGGCGGCACUCUGGGCCGGAACUGACGCUGAGGAGCGAAAGCGUGGGUAGCGAACAGG
rnacentral:rRNA from 1 species